rnacentral:tRNA from 1 species
GGGGGUAUGGCGGAAUAGGUAGACGCAGCGGACUUAAAAUCCGCAGACCGCGAGGUUGUGGGGGUUCAAGUCCCCCUGCCCCCACCA